UUCCCCAGGCUAGAUGUUUUAUCCUGCUCUGUUAAGUCAUCUUGACAUGUGGCCACAGAAUAGAAACAACUGCUACUUUUAAUAUGGCUCCAUAUCUUUAUUACAAGGUCAGCUUGGCAGCCAGGAUCUCAACCACCUUAAGAAGGCAAAGGGCUGUCCUUCCAUGAAAAGCUAAUGGAGAACGUUAAUCUGUUAUGAGGCAGCUCUUCCCUGGUGGUGUCAAUCUAGAGCCAGAAUAUGACCUGACACACCACCCUACAUCAUGUGACAUUGAGUUUUAGACAGAUGAGCUGUCAUCUCUGACCUUUCCUAAGAAGGACCUCUCGGCCUCCAUUCCUACCAUGGCAGACAGGACUGUGGGAGCUCCUGACCUCUU